GACGAACGCUGGCGGCGUGCUUAACACAUGCAAGUCGAACGGAAAGGCCUGCUUUCCCUUGUGGAUUGCGGGUACUCGAGUGGCGAACGGGUGAGUAACACGUGAGUGAUCUGCCCCCAACUUGGGUAUAAGCCUGGGAAACUGGGUCUAAUUCCCGAUAGGACUGCAGGGUGGUGCCUGUGGUGGAAAACGAUUUUCUCGUGGUUGGGGAUGAGCUCGCGGCCUAUCAGCGUGUUGGUGGGGUAAUGGCCUACCACGGCGGGGACGGGUAGCCGGACGGAGAGGGUGGACGGUGACAUUGGGACUGGGAUACGGCCCCGACGCCUACGGGCGGCAGCGGUGGGGAAUCUUGCGCAAUGGGCGGAAUCCUGAUGCAGCGAGGGCGCGUGGGGGAUGACGGGCUUCGGGUGGUAAACUCCUUUCGAGCGAGAGGAAGCCACCUGGGUGGAAGUGUGGUGACGGUAGCGGUAGAAGAAGCACCGGCUAACUACGUG
rnacentral:rRNA from 1 species